GGCUCAGGACGAACGCUGGCGGCGCGCUUAACACAUGCAAGUCGAGCGAUGAAAUUUCGACAGAUCCCUUCGGGGUGAAGAUGAAAUGGAUUAGCGGCGGACGGGUGAGUAACACGUGAGUAACCUGCCUUAGACAUUGGGAUAGCCUCGGGAAACCGGGAUUAAUACCAAAUGAAAUCACAUAUGCACAUGCAUAAAUGAUCAAAGCUCCGGCGGUCUAAGAUGGACUCGCGUCCCAUUAGCUAGUUGGUGAGGUAACGGCCCACCAAGGCGACGAUGGGUAGCCGGCCUGAGAGGGUGAACGGCCACAUUGGAACUGAGAAACGGUCCAAACUCCUACGGGAGGCAGCAGUGGGGAAUAUUGCACAAUGGAGGGAACUCUGAUGCAGCGACGCCGCGUGAACGAAGAAGGCUUUCGAGUCGUAAAGUUCUUUUAUAUGGGAAGAUAAUGACGGUACCAUAAGAAAAAGCCCCGGCUAACUACGUGCCAGCAGCCGCGG
rnacentral:rRNA from 1 species